AUUGAACGCUGGCGGCAGGCCUAACACAUGCAAGUCGAGCGGAUGACGGGAGCUUGCUCCUUGAUUCAGCGGCGGACGGGUGAGUAAUGCCUAGGAAUCUGCCUGGUAGUGGGGGACAACGUUUCGAAAGGAGCGCUAAUACCGCAUACGUCCUACGGGAGAAAGCAGGGGACCUUCGGGCCUUGCGCUAUCAGAUGAGCCUAGGUCGGAUUAGCUAGUUGGUGGGGUAAUGGCUCACCAAGGCGACGAUCCGUAACUGGUCUGAGAGGAUGAUCAGUCACACUGGAACUGAGACACGGUCCAGACUCCUACGGGAGGCAGCAGUGGGGAAUAUUGGACAAUGGGCGAAAGCCUGAUCCAGCCAUGCCGCGUGUGUGAAGAAGGUCUUCGGAUUGUAAAGCACUUUAAGUUGGGAGGAAGGGCAGUAAGUUAAUACCUUGCUGUUUUGACGUUACCGACAGAAUAAGCACCGGCUAACUCUGUGCCAGCAGCCGCCGUAAAAC
rnacentral:rRNA from 1 species